rnacentral:pre_miRNA from 1 species
GAUUUCAGCUGAAAAAGUUAUCAACAACAAAGUUGUAUAACUCAACAAGAUUUAUAACUUCUAUUUUAGUCAUUUCUUCAUCCGACAAAGUUAUUUAGAAGAUUGUUCACAAAAUGUACAUCUCUCUUAUAAUUUUAUAAACUAUAUAAGUGAUAUAUACAUUUUGUGAACAAUCUUACAAAUCACUUUGUCGGAUGGAAAAAUGACCAAAAUAGAAGUUAUAGAUCUUGAUGAUUUAUACAACUUUGUUAUUGAUGACUUUUUCAAUUGAAAUC